UCCAGACUCCUACGGGAGGCAGCAGUGAGGAAUAUUGGUCAAUGGACGAGAGUCUGAACCAGCCAAGUAGCGUGAAGGAUGACUGCCCUAUGGGUUGUAAACUUCUUUUAUAUGGGAAUAAAAUGUUCCACGUGUGGGAUUUUGUAUGUACCAUAUGAAUAAGGAUCGGCUAACUCCGUGCCAGCAGCCGCGGUAAUACGGAGGAUGCGAGCGUUAUCCGGAUUUAUUGGGUUUAAAGGGUGCGCAGGCGGGAGAUCAAGUCAGCGGUAAAAUGUCGGGGCUCAACCCCGGCCGGCCGUUGAAACUGGUUUUCUAGAGUUGGAGAGAAGUAUGCGGAAUUCGUGGUGUAGCGGUGAAAUGCAUAGAUAUCACGAAGAACUCCGAUUGCGAAGGCAGCAUACCGGCUCCAUACUGACGCUGAGGCACGAAAGCGUGGGGAUCGAACAGGAUUAGAUACCCUGGUA
rnacentral:rRNA from 1 species